rnacentral:rRNA from 1 species
UGAGCAAUCUGCCCUUCUCUUCGGAAUAAGCGUUGGAAACGACGUCUAAUGCCGAAUACGACCUCCUUUCGCAUGAUCGGAGGUGGAAAGCUCCGGCGGAGAAGGAUGAGCUCGCGGCCUAUCAGCUUGUUGGUGAGGUAACGGCUCACCAAGGCUACGACGGGUAGCUGGUCUGAGAGGACGACCAGCCACACUGGAACUGAGAUACGGUCCAGACUCCGUAGGGAGG